AGCAUUUGCCAAAAAAUAUCUAACUAGCUAUCUCAUUGGAUAUUUACACAAGAGUUUAUACAUAUUUGCCAUCUUAACACCAUGCUAACACAGUUAGAAACACCGUUCAGUUUCUGUUUCAAUAAUUAAAAAAAAAAUCAUCAAAUGAAACCCUAAAAAUUGGAACAACAUCCACUUCUUUUGCAUCCCUUUUUCCUCCACCGAUCUCUCUCAGUUCGUUCGCCACUCUAAGAACCAAGAUCUAAGAAGUUUUGGUGCAUUCAUGUGGUGCAAGAUAGAAGAACGUAUGUCCAGCUAAACAUGUUGUCCUCUUCCGAAUUUUCGAAAGAUUCCUCUAAUUAUUCAAAUAGUAUUUUCACUCAAUGAUUUUAUUCGCUCAUAAUUUUCUAUAAUCUAUUAUACUUGCGCUAGGCAUGGUCGAUGACAAUUGACAAGUCAUUGUUGUUGACAAAGACUGGGGACCCAAGACUUAUCUAUAUACAACAAUAAUUUGUUUCACUAAAUUGAUGCUCAUAUCUUCAUAAGAGAGUUCAAGUUAAAACAAUAUUCCAGAUUAGCAGAAUAUAUAUCUAGAUUGAAUACUUCGUAUUUUAGUAUUUAUAGUUUUUUGAUACGUGUAGAUUGUGCUAUAUGAAUCGUAUAAAUUUGUCCUAAA